CAGGGUAGCUGAGAAGAGUGACCUGCUGAGAAAGCUGCUUUUGUAACCUGGUGGGGUGAAAUAAAAUUAUCAAAACAUUCCUAAUUAUGUUUCAGUUAAGAUUAAAUUCAACUUUAUUGUUAUUGCCUAAAAGUACAGUCAAAUGAAUAGGUUUUGUAUCUAUCUUCACUUCAAACAAGUCACGUGCUCAGAAAAUGCUUAGAAUGUGUCCAUUUUAAUAGGUUUUAAUGCAUAAGACAGUAGAUAGAAUAAAUAUUAGAUAAUAUAAAUAUGAGAGUUUUCUUACAGCCUUAAUCUGUCAUUGUUUCGUUUCAGACUGUCAGUCAAUUUUGGAAGCCUGAAGUGGGUUCAUUUUAAGUUUCCAUAUUCCAUAUGUUAAGAUAUGUUCAGUGUUGCUGCUGUGGAAGUGUUGUGGGUGACUUUUUAUUGAUGCAGGUCUAAUCAUACUUUAAGAGGUUCUCUAGACCAUGCAACUUUUUAAGUUCCUACGGUCCCAUCAUAAUUUCUUAAGAAGUACUGUAUAUGAUGUCAGUAUUUUCCAACAUUUUCUAAAUACUGUACCAGUACUGUGUAAAAUGCCAUCAAAAAGUCAAUUAAGUGUUAUUCUUUCUCA